AUUCUUGUGGCAUAAUGGAUAUGGUAUUAGUCUUCAGAAAUGAAGAUUGUGAGUUCGAAUCUCACUGAGAUCG